GAUGAAGAACGCAGCGAAAUGCGAUACGUAAUGUGAAUUGCAAAUUCAGUGAAUCAUCGAGUCUUUGAACGCACAUUGCGCCCCCUGGUAUUCCGGGGGGCAUGCCUGUCCGAGCGUCAUUGCUGCCCUCAAGCACGGCUUGUGUGUUGGGCCCCGUCCUCCGAUCCCGGGGGACGGGCCCGAAAGGCAGCGGCGGCACCGCGUCCGGUCCUCGAGCGUAUGGGGCUUUGUCACCCGCUCUGUAGGCCCGGCCGGCGCUUCCGAUCAACCCAAAUUUUUAUCCAGGUUGACCUCGGAUCAGGUAGGGAUACCCGCUGAACUUAAGCAUAUCAAUAAGCGGAGGA
rnacentral:misc_RNA from 1 species